rnacentral:rRNA from 1 species
CCUACGGGUGGCAGCAGUGGGGAAUAUUGGACAAUGGGCGAAAGCCUGAUCCAGCCAUGCCGCGUGUGUGAAGAAGGCCUUCGGGUUGUAAAGCACUUUCAGUGGGGAAGAAAGCCUUGGGGCUAAUACCCUCGAGGAAGGACAUCACCCACAGAAGAAGCACCGGCUAACUCCGUGCCAGCAGCCGCGGUAAUACGGAGGGUGCGAGCGUUAAUCGGAAUUACUGGGCGUAAAGCGCGCGUAGGCGGUCUGAUAAGCCGGUUGUGAAAGCCCCGGGCUCAACCUGGGAACGGCAUCCGGAACUGUCAGGCUAGAGUGCAGGAGAGGAAGGUAGAAUUCCCGGUGUAGCGGUGAAAUGGGUAGAGAUCGGGAGGAAUACCAGUGGCGAAGGCGGCCUUCUGGACUGACACUGACGCUGGGGUGCGAAAGCGUGGGUAGCAAACAGGAUUAGAUACCCCAUAGUC